CACAGAGUGGGUGUAUUUGUGGA
rnacentral:piRNA from 1 species